rnacentral:tRNA from 1 species
GCAGCCCGAAGCGGUGCGGAUGCUGGUCGCGAUCCUCAAGGGAUCGCAGUUGAACGGCACCGACGGCUGGUUCGGUCCGUCCGAGUCGCG